rnacentral:misc_RNA from 1 species
GAUGAAGAACGUAGCGAAAUGCGAUAAGUAGUGUGAAUUGCAGAAUUCAGUGAAUCAUCGAAUCUUUGAACGCACAUUGCGCCCCUUGGUAUUCCAUGGGGCAUGCCUGUUCGAGCGUCAUUUCAACCCUCAAGCGCAGCUUGGUGUUGGGUGCUUGUCCCGCCUCCGCGCGGCGACUCACCUCAAAGUCAUUGGCAGCCCGCAUCCGCCGGCCGUGAGCGCAGCACAGUCGCGCCCUAGGCCCCGGCGGAUCGGCUCUCCAGAAGCUACCCCCCAAUGUUGACCUCGGAUCAGGUAGGGAUACCCGCUGAACUUAAGCAUAUCAAUAAGCGGAGGA